rnacentral:tRNA from 1 species
GUAAAUAUAGUUUAAUGUAAAACAUUAGAUUGUGAAUCUGAUAAUAGGAACUUAAGCCUCCUUAUUUACC